CCUACGGGAGGCAGCAGUAGGGAAUCUUUCACAAUGGGCGAAAGCCUGAUGGAGCAACGCCGCGUGCAGGAUGAAGGCCUUAUGGUUGUAAACUGCUUUUAUAAGCGAGAAAUAUGAUGGUAACUUAUGAAUACUGAUCGGCUAACUACGUACCAGCAGCCGCGGUCAUACGUAGGAUCCGAGAAUUAUCCGGAGUGACUGGGUGUAAAGAGUUGCGUAGGUGGCAAAAUAAGUAGCUAGUGAAAUCUGGUGGCUCAACCAUUCAGACUAUUAGCUAAACUGUUAAGCUCGAGACCGUUAGGGGUAACGGGAAUUUCUAGUGUAGGAGUGAAAUCCGUAGAUAUUAGAAGGAACACCAAUAGCGUAGGCAGGUUGCUGGGACGGGUCUGACACUAAGGCACGAAAGCGUAGGGAGCAAACGGGAUUAGAUACCCGGGUAGUC
rnacentral:rRNA from 1 species